rnacentral:lncRNA from 12 species
CUGAUAGGAGCUCAUUACAUAACUUGUGCUUUGUGAGUGCUGGCAACUGGCAACCUACAGAAAGACACAGCCAGAAGCAAUGUGCUCAGCUGCUUGCUUCUUUUUUUAAAAAAAAAAUCACGUAUAUCUGGGCCAAGCAUUAAACAGACGAGCCUAUCUUUACCCUUCCCCCUGCCCCCUUCAUCAACAGAAGCCUGGUUUUCAUCACAGCUUAAUAAACGAAACCUUCUAUCAUUUUUCUCUGCUU